GGGUUGUGAGGUUAAGCGACUAAGCGUACACGGUGGAUGCCCUGGCAGUCAGAGGCGAUGAAGGACGUGCUAAUCUGCGAAAAGCGUCGGUAAGGUGAUAUGAACCGUUAUAACCGGCGAUGUCCGAAUGGGGAAACCCAGUGUGAUUCGUCACACUAUCGUUAACUGAAUACAUAGGUUAACGAGGCGAACCGGGGGAACUGAAACAUCUAAGUACCCCGAGGAAAAGAAAUCAACCGAGAUUCCCCCAGUAGCGGCGAGCGAACGGGGAGCAGCCCAGAGUCUGAAUCAGCUUGUGUGUUAGUGGAACGGUCUGGAAAGUCCGACGGUACAGGGUGAUAGUCCCGUACACCAAAAUGCACAGGCUGUGAACUCGAAGAGUAGGGCGGGACACGUGGUAUCCUGUCUGAAUAUGGGGGGACCAUCCUCCAAGGCUAAAUACUCCUGACUGACCGAUAGUGAACCAGUACCGUGAGGGAAAGGCGAAAAGAACCCCGGCGAGGGGAGUGAAAAAGAACCUGAAACCGUGUACGUACAAGCAGUGGGAGCACCUUCGGGUGUGACUGCGUACCUUUUGUAUAAUGGGUCAGCGACUUAUAUUCUGUAGCAAGGUUAACCGUAUAGGGGAGCCGCAGGGAAACCGAGUCUUAACUGGGCGUUAAGUUGCAGGGUAUAGACCCGAAACCCGGUGAUCUAGCCAUGGGCAGGUUGAAGGUUGGGUAACACUAACUGGAGGACCGAACCGACUAAUGUUGAAAAAUUAGCGGAUGACUUGUGGCUGGGGGUGAAAGGCCAAUCAAACCGGGAGAUAGCUGGUUCUCCCCGAAAGCUAUUUAGGUAGCGCCUCGUGAACUCAUCUUCGGGGUAGAGCACUGUUUCGGCUAGGGGUCAUCCCGACUUACCAACCCGAUGCAAACUACGAAUACCGAAGAAUGUUAUCACGGGAGACACACGGCGGGUGCUAACGUCCGUCGUGAAGAGGGAAACAACCCAGACCGCCAGCUAAGGUCCCAAAGUCAUGGUUAAGUGGGAAACGAUGUGGGAAGGCACAGACAGCCAGGAUGUUGGCUUAGAAGCAGCCAUCAUUUAAAGAAAGCGUAAUAGCUCACUGGUCGAGUCGGCCUGCGCGGAAGAUGUAACGGGGCUAAACCAUGCACCGAAGCUGCGGCAGCGACACUAUGUGUUGUUGGGUAGGGGAGCGUUCUGUAAGCCUGCGAAGGUGACCUGUGAGGGUUGCUGGAGGUAUCAGAAGUGCGAAUGCUGACAUAAGUAACGAUAAAGCGGGUGAAAAGCCCGCUCGCCGGAAGACCAAGGGUUCCUGUCCAACGUUAAUCGGGGCAGGGUGAGUCGACCCCUAAGGCGAGGCCGAAAGGCGUAGUCGAUGGGAAACAGGUUAAUAUUCCUGUACUUGGUGUUACUGCGAAGGGGGGACGGAGAAGGCUAUGUUAGCCGGGCGACGGUUGUCCCGGUUUAAGCAUGUAGGCUGGUUAUCCAGGCAAAUCCGGAUAAUCAAGGCUGAGGUGUGAUGACGAGGCACUACGGUGCUGAAGUAACAAAUGCCCUGCUUCCAGGAAAAGCCUCUAAGCAUCAGGUAACAUCAAAUCGUACCCCAAACCGACACAGGUGGUCAGGUAGAGAAUACCAAGGCGCUUGAGAGAACUCGGGUGAAGGAACUAGGCAAAAUGGUGCCGUAACUUCGGGAGAAGGCACGCUGGUGUGUAGGUGAAGCCCCUGCGGGUGGAGCUGAGACCAGUCGAAGAUACCAGCUGGCUGCAACUGUUUAUUAAAAACACAGCACUGUGCAAACACGAAAGUGGACGUAUACGGUGUGACGCCUGCCCGGUGCCGGAAGGUUAAUUGAUGGGGUUAUCCGUAAGGAGAAGCUCUUGAUCGAAGCCCCGGUAAACGGCGGCCGUAACUAUAACGGUCCUAAGGUAGCGAAAUUCCUUGUCGGGUAAGUUCCGACCUGCACGAAUGGCGUAAUGAUGGCCAGGCUGUCUCCACCCGAGACUCAGUGAAAUUGAACUCGCUGUGAAGAUGCAGUGUACCCGCGGCAAGACGGAAAGACCCCGUGAACCUUUACUAUAGCUUGACACUGAACAUUGAGCCUUGAUGUGUAGGAUAGGUGGGAGGCUUUGAAGCGUGGACGCCAGUCUGCGUGGAGCCAACCUUGAAAUACCACCCUUUAAUGUUUGAUGUUCUAACGUUGGCCCCUUACCGGGGUUGCGGACAGUGUCUGGUGGGUAGUUUGACUGGGGCGGUCUCCUCCCAAAGCGUAACGGAGGAGCACGAAGGUUAGCUAAUCCUGGUCGGACAUCAGGAGGUUAGUGCAAUGGCAUAAGCUAGCUUGACUGCGAGCGUGACGGCGCGAGCAGGUGCGAAAGCAGGUCAUAGUGAUCCGGUGGUUCUGAAUGGAAGGGCCAUCGCUCAACGGAUAAAAGGUACUCCGGGGAUAACAGGCUGAUACCGCCCAAGAGUUCAUAUCGACGGCGGUGUUUGGCACCUCGAUGUCGGCUCAUCACAUCCUGGGGCUGAAGUAGGUCCCAAGGGUAUGGCUGUUCGCCAUUUAAAGUGGUACGCGAGCUGGGUUUAGAACGUCGUGAGACAGUUCGGUCCCUAUCUGCCGUGGGCGCUGGAGAAUUGAGGGGGGCUGCUCCUAGUACGAGAGGACCGGAGUGGACGCAUCACUGGUGUUCGGGUUGUCAUGCCAAUGGCACUGCCCGGUAGCUAAAUGCGGAAGAGAUAAGUGCUGAAAGCAUCUAAGCACGAAACUUGCCCCGAGAUGAGUUCUCCCUGAGACUUUAAGUCUCCUGAAGGAACGUUGAAGACGACGACGUUGAUAGGCCGGGUGUGUAAGCGCAGCGAUGCGUUGAGCUAACCGGUACUAAUGAACCGUGAGGCUUAACCUUACAACGCCGAAG
rnacentral:rRNA from 1 species